rnacentral:rRNA from 1 species
UACGAAGGGGGCUAGCGUUGCUCGGAAUCACUGGGCGUAAAGCGCACGUAGGCGGAUCUUUAAGUCAGGGGUGAAAUCCUGGAGCUCAACUCCAGAACUGCCUUUGAUACUGGGGAUCUCGAGUCCGGAAGAGGUGAGUGGAACUCCGAGUGUAGAGGUGAAAUUCGUAGAUAUUCGGAAGAACACCAGUGGCGAAGGCGACACACUGGCCCGUUACUGACGCUGAGGCGCGAAAGCGUGGGGAGCAAACAGG